ACUGGAAUAACUGCUUCAUCAUAAUCACAGGUUCUGAUAGUUAAUACUGCAGAACUAUGAUACUAGCAGUCACAAAAAUAAACAAAUAAAAUGGGCUUAUUUAACAAUUUGAUAUUGUAUGCCAUAAUGACGCAUCAAUGCUUGCAUCACUCAGACAAAAAACCCCAGUAUAAUGUAAGAAUUAAAGCUCAAAUUAAAUUAAAACAUUGAAUCAAUCAAUAUACUUUAAUAAAAGCCUCAUUCUCUUGAUGCCAAAUCUUUAUGUAGCCAAAAUGGCAACAUCCAUGAGCAAGAAGGAUGUAUCAGCAGAUGUGGAGGAAUCCCAAAGUUUGCAGGAGUACCAAUCAAAAUAUUGGAGGGGGGGAUCUAAAAAUGGGGGUGGAGUGACCUGAAAUGACCUAUGGAAGACUGAACAUGCUCACUAUCCAUAAAAUGCUGACGGGGCUGGAGAAACAACAGAGUGGAAAUGAGGAUCUUGAAGAAGGGCAUGGCUGGUUUGUUGGAAGCCAGUAAAUGAGACUUUACACUGCAAUGUUUUAUUACUGAUGCUACUUGUUUAUAACUAAAUCUCAAUGUUCAAAGAACCAUGAAUUUUCAGGUAACAAUCUUAUUAAGAAAAAUAAACAUUCUGUGGCAACAGCAUCAUUGUAGCAUGAGCUUUCAUAAUCAAAAGCCCACUUCAUGCAUCUGUUGAAGGAAGGUCUUGUCUUGUUUGUGAAAGCUCAUGUCACAAGACUUGUUUUUACACCAGCAGACCAAUGUGGCUACUCUCCUAGAAUGUAGGCAUAAAUGAGACUUUCUAUAUUUUUAAAAAAAUGAAAAUGAAUUCAGUACUAGAUGCACCAAAAGAAUCAGAUCAUCAAAACCAGUUUGAUAGUCUGUUCUAUUUCCACUUCACACUAUUGUCUGUGUAAUACAGGACAGAGGCAUUAUCAAGUACACCACUAAAUACA